rnacentral:rRNA from 1 species
GUUGAGCGCUGAAGGUUGGUACUUGUACCGACUGGAUGAGCAGCGAACGGGUGAGUAACGCGUGGGGAAUCUGCCUUUGAGCGGGGGACAACAUUUGGAAACGAAUGCUAAUACCGCAUAAAAACUUUAAACACAAGUUUUAAGUUUGAAAGAUGCAAUUGCAUCACUCAAAGAUGAUCCCGCGUUGUAUUAGCUAGUUGGUGAGGUAAAGGCUCACCAAGGCGAUGAUACAUAGCCGACCUGAGAGGGUGAUCGGCCACAUUGGGACUGAGACACGGCCCAAACUCCUACGGGAGGCAGCAGUAGGGAAUCUUCGGCAAUGGACGAAAGUCUGACCGAGCAACGCCGCGUGAGUGAAGAAGGUUUUCGGAUCGUAAAACUCUGUUGGUAGAGAAGAACGUUGGUGAGAGUGGAAAGCUCAUCAAGUGACGGUAACUACCCAGAAAGGGACGGCUAACUACGUGCCAGCAGCCGCGGUAAUACGUAGGUCCCGAGCGUUGUCCGGAUUUAUUGGGCGUAAAGCGAGCGCAGGUGGUUUAUUAAGUCUGGUGUAAAAGGCAGUGGCUCAACCAUUGUAUGCAUUGGAAACUGGUAGACUUGAGUGCAGGAGAGGAGAGUGGAAUUCCAUGUGUAGCGGUGAAAUGCGUAGAUAUAUGGAGGAACACCGGUGGCGAAAGCGGCUCUCUGGCCUGUAACUGACACUGAGGCUCGAAAGCGUGGGGAGCAAACAGGAUUAGAUACCCUGGUAGUCCACGCCGUAAACGAUGAGUGCUAGAUGUAGGGAGCUAUAAGUUCUCUGUAUCGCAGCUAACGCAAUAAGCACUCCGCCUGGGGAGUACGACCGCAAGGUUGAAACUCAAAGGAAUUGACGGGGGCCCGCACAAGCGGUGGAGCAUGUGGUUUAAUUCGAAGCAACGCGAAGAACCUUACCAGGUCUUGACAUACUCGUGCUAUUCCUAGAGAUAGGAAGUUCCUUCGGGACACGGGAUACAGGUGGUGCAUGGUUGUCGUCAGCUCGUGUCGUGAGAUGUUGGGGUUAAGUCCCGCAACGAGCGCAACCCCUAUUGUUAGUUGCCAUCAUUAAGUUGGGCACUCUAACGAGACUGCCGGUGAUAAACCGGAGGAAGGUGGGGAUGACGUCAAAUCAUCAUGCCCCUUAUGACCUGGGCUACACACGUGCUACAAUGGAUGGUACAACGAGUCGCGAGACAGUGAUGUUUAGCUAAUCUCUUAAAACCAUUCUCAGUUCGGAUUGUAGGCUGCAACUCGCCUACAUGAAGUCGGAAUCGCUAGUAAUCGCGGAUCAGCACGCCGCGGUGAAUACGUUCCCGGGCCUUGUACACACCGCCCGUCACACCACGGGAGUUGGGAGUACCCGAAGUAGGUGCCUAACCGCAAGG